AACGUAGGAGACAAACGUUAUCCGGAGUUACUGGGCGUAAAGGGUGCGUAGGCGGUCGGGUAAGUCUGAUGUGAAAUCUCACAGCUUAACUGUGAAACUGCAUUGGAUACUAUCCGGCUCGAGGAAUGGAGGGGAGACUGGAAUACUUGGUGUAGCAGUGAAAUGCGUAGAUAUCAAGUGGAACACCAGUGGCGAAGGCGAGUCUCUGGACAUUUCCUGACGCUGAGGCACGAAAGCCAGGGGAGCAAACGGG
rnacentral:rRNA from 1 species